CUCGUGGUAGUCACUAAAUACUUAAUUAAGUCUUGAGAUAAGAAAGACCAAGUUUAUAUAUAAAAUUUUCCUUUUUGAGCAAUCACACAAAAUAUAUAAGCCUCAAGUAACCAACAAUAUCCAAAAUAUGAUAAAAUGCUCUAAAACCUUGUAUAUCCUCAUGAAGAAUUUUUUUUGAAUUUCAACACCUCAUAUCUUCUAAUUUAUUUGUCCAAAAAAACUCAAAUUUAAUAUAAGGUACUGAUUUAUUCUUAUUAACUUCUACAAUAAAUUUCAACUACAAAUUUGUUGCAGAACUUGAGAUAUCUUGAAAAUCCUAACAACCACUUAAAACCCUUGACUUUAUACACCUACAUGCAAUUUUCUUCAUAUCUCACAAAAUAUAAUCUCAAAUGCCACAAAAUUUGUAUGUAUAGCUUUUUAAUACAAAAUGUUACAUUUUUCAAAAAUUUUAAACUAAAAAUUUGUCUGAAAACUCAAGUUAUGGC
rnacentral:lncRNA from 1 species